GACGAACGCUGGCGGCGUGCUUAACACAUGCAAGUCGAACGGAAAGGCCCUGCUUUUGUGGGGUGCUCGAGUGGCGAACGGGUGAGUAACACGUGAGUAACCUGCCCUUGACUUUGAGAUAACUUCAGGAAACUGGGGCUAAUACCGGAUAGGAGCUCCUGCUGCAUGGUGGGGGUUGGAAAGUUUCGGCGGUUGGGGAUGGACUCGCGGCUUAUCAGCUUGUUGGUGGGGUAGUGGCUUACCAAGGCUUUGACGGGUAGCCGGCCUGAGAGGGUGACCGGCCACAGGGGGACUGAGAUACGGCCCGGACUCCUACGGGAGGCAGCAGUGGGGGAGAUUGCACAAUGGGCGGAAGCCUGAUGCAGCAACGCCGCGUGCGGGAUGACGGCCUUCGGGGUGUAAACCGCUUUCGCCUGUGACGAAGCGUGAGUGACGGUAAUGGGUAAAGAAGCACCGGCUAACUACGUG
rnacentral:rRNA from 1 species